GGAGGGGGACGAACAGCUGGAAACGGCUGCUGAUACCGCAUAGUCCGCUCUGCCGCAUGGCAGAGCGGGAAAGGCCUUUUGGGGACCGCCGGGGGAUGGACCUGCGGCGCAUUAGCUGGUUGCGGGGCAACGGCCCACCAAGGCGACGAUGCGUAGCCCGACCUGAGAGGGUGGACGGCCACACUGGGACUGAGACACGGCCCAGACUCCUGCGGGAGGCAGCAGUAGGGAAUUUUCGGCAAUGGGGGGAACCCUGACCGAGCAACGCCGCGUGAAGCGAAGAAGGCCUUCGGGUCGUAAAGCUCUGUUAUGAAGGAAGAAUGACCCAUACAGGAAAUGGUAAGGGGAUGACGGUACUUCAUGAGGAAGCCACGGCUAACUACGUGCCAGCCGCCGC
rnacentral:rRNA from 1 species